rnacentral:rRNA from 1 species
UACGUAGGGGGCGAGCGUUGUCCGGAUUUAUUGGGCGUAAAGAGCGUGUAGGCGGCCAGGUAGGUCCGUUGUGAAAACUCGAGGCUCAACCUCGAGACGUCGGCGGAAACCCUCUGGCUAGAGUCCGGAAGAGGAGAGUGGAAUUCCUGGUGUAGCGGUGAAAUGCGCAGAUAUCAGGAAGAACACCCGUGGCGAAGGCGGCUCUCUGGGGACGGUACUGACGCUGAGACGCGAAAAGCGUGGGGGAGCAAACAGG